rnacentral:rRNA from 1 species
GAUGAACGCUGGCGGCGUGCCUAAUACAUGCAAGUCGAGCGAACAGACCCGGCGCUUGCUCCUCUGACGUUAGCCGAGGACGUGUGAAUAACACGUGUAUCCCCUACCUAUCUUUCUGGUAUCUCUUGGGAACAGCGGAUCUAAUACCGGAUAAUCUCUUGAACCACAUUGUUGAUUGGUAAUUUACGGUUUUGGUGUCUGUUGUAGAUGGAUCCGCGCCUUAUUGUCUUGUUGGUGAGGUAACGGCUUACCACGGCAACGCUGGGUAGCCGGCAGGAGAGGGGGAACGGCCACAUGGGGACUGAGAUACGGACCAGACUCCUACGGGAGGCAGCAGUGGGGAAUAUUGCACAAUGGGCGGAAGCCUGAUGCAGCAACGCCGCGUGCGGGAUGACGGCCUUCGGGUUGUAAACAGAUUUCGAAGGUGACGAAGCGGGAGUGACGGUAAUGGGUAAAGAAGCACCGGCUAACUACGUG